rnacentral:rRNA from 1 species
ACGCUGGCGGCAGGCCUAACACAUGCAAGUCGAGCGGAUGAAAGGAGCUUGCUCCUGGAUUCAGCGGCGGACGGGUGAGUAAUGCCUAGGAAUCUGCCUGGUAGUGGGGGACAACGUUUCGAAAGGAACGCUAAUACCGCAUACGUCCUACGGGAGAAAGCAGGGGACCUUCGGGCCUUGCGCUAUCAGAUGAGCCUAGGUCGGAUUAGCUAGUUGGUGAGGUAAUGGCUCACCAAGGCGACGAUCCGUAACUGGUCUGAGAGGAUGAUCAGUCACACUGGAACUGAGACACGGUCCAGACUCCUACGGGAGGCAGCAGUGGGGAAUAUUGGACAAUGGGCGAAAGCCUGAUCCAGCCAUGCCGCGUGUGUGAAGAAGGUCUUCGGAUUGUAAAGCACUUUAAGUUGGGAGGAAGGGCAGUAAAUUAAUACUUUGCUGUUUUGACGUUACCGACAGAAUAAGCACCGGCUAACUCUGUGCCAGCAGCCGUGGUAAUACAGAGGGUGCAAGCGUUAAUCGGAAUUACUGGGCGUAAGGCGCGCGUAGGUGGUUUGUUAAGUUGGAUGUGAAAUCCCCGGGCUCAACCUGGGAACUGCAUCCAAAACUGGCAAGCUAGAGUAUGGUAGAGGGUGGUGGAAUUUCCUGUGUAGCGGUGAAAUGCGUAGAUAUAGGAAGGAACACCAGUGGCGAAGGCGACCACCUGGACUGAUACUGACACUGAGGCGCGAAAGCGUGGGGAGCAAAC